rnacentral:rRNA from 1 species
AUUGAACGCUGGCGGCAUGCCUUACACAUGCAAGUCGAACGGCAGCAUGAUCUAGCUUGCUAGAUUGAUGGCGAGUGGCGAACGGGUGAGUAAUACAUCGGAACGUGCCCUGUAGUGGGGGAAAACUAGUCGAAAGAUUAGCUAAUACCGCAUACGACCUGAGGGUGAAAGUGGGGGACCGCAAGGCCUCAUGCUAUAGGAGCGACCGAUGUCUGAUUAGCUAGUUGGUGAGGUAAAGGCUCACCAAGGCGACGAUCAGUAGCUGGUCUGUGAGGACGAGCAGCCACACUGGGGCUGAGACACGGCCCAGACUCCUACGGGAGGCAGCAGUGGGGAAUUUUGGACAAUGGGGGCAACCCUGAUGAAGCAAUGCCGGGUGUGUGAAGAAGGCCUUCGGGUUGUAAAGCACUUUUGUCCGGAAAGAAAUCGCACUUACUAAUAUUAGGUGUGGAUGACGGUACCGGAAGAAUAAGGACCGGCUAACUACGUGCCAGCCGCCGCUGUAACAC